UAAGUGUAAACUUGUCUACUAAGGAUUUGUAUUUUUCAGCAUCUUCUUUUAACUUGAUAUUUUCAGCAAUUAGAUUCUCGAUUUCAUUUGUGAAUCUCCUACUUAAUGUUUCAUAGUUAUUAGAUAGUUUCAGCUUAUCUUUGAUAAGAGACUGAUUUUCAUCUUUUAGAACUUUAUUUUUAUUGAUUAGUUUUUUGUGUUCUUCCAUGAGUUCUAAAAAUGCAUCAUGUAAUUCUUCAACAGUAAAAUCACAUUCAAGUUCAGAAUCUACCN
rnacentral:lncRNA from 1 species